UACGUAGGUGGCAAGCGUUAUCCGGAUUUACUGGGUGUAAAGGGCGUGUAGGCGGGAAAGCAAGUCAGAUGUGAAAACUAUGGGCUCAACCCAUAGCCUGCAUUUGAAACUGUUUUUCUUGAGUACUGGAGAGGCAGAUGGAAUUCCUAGUGUAGCGGUGAAAUGCGUAGAUAUUAGGAGGAACACCAGUGGCGAAGGCGAUCUGCUGGACAGCAACUGACGCUGAGGCGCGAAAGCGUGGGGAGCAAACAGGAUUAGAUACCCUGGUAGUCCACGCUGUAAACGAUGGAUACUAGGUGUGGGGGGUCUGACCCCCUCCGUGCCGCAGUUAACACAAUAAGUAUCCCACCUGGGGAGUACGAUCGCAAGGUUGAA
rnacentral:rRNA from 1 species